GGAAUCUUAGACAAUGGGGGCAACCCUGAUCUAGCCAUGCCGCGUGAACGAUGAAGGCCCUAGGGUUGUAAAGUUCUUUCAGCGAGGAAGAUAAUGACGGUACUCGCAGAAGAAGCCCCGGCUCACUCCGUGCCAGCCGCCGCGGUAAUACGGAGGGGGCCAGCGUUGUUCGGAAUUACUGGGCGUAAAGCGCACGUAGGCGGAUCAGUCAGUCAGGGGUGAAAUCCCGGGGCGCAACCCCGGAACUGCCUUUGAUACUGCUGGUCUGGAGUCCGAGAGAGGUGAGUGGAAUUCCGAGUGUAGAGGUGAAAUUCGUAGAUAUUCGGAGGAACACCAGUGGCGAAGGCGGCUCACUGGCUCGGUACUGACGCUGAGGUGCGAAAGCGUGGGGAGCAAAC
rnacentral:rRNA from 1 species